AUUCAAAGAAAAAGUGAAGAAAUCAAGGAAACAAGCUAGGUAGUGAGACGUCCGAAAAAGACAAAGGAAUUGCGCUUGAGGGCUAUUAGUCCGAGUGCACUCGAAAUUCGAAUUUUCGAUACUGGAGUGCACAUAAGCCGUUGCUGACCCGGC